rnacentral:rRNA from 1 species
UGCUGGAGGUAUCAGAAGUGCGAAUGCUGACAUAAGUAACGAUAAAGCGGGUGAAAAGCCCGCUCGCCGGAAGACCAAGGGUUCCUGUCCAACGUUAAUCGGGGCAGGGUGAGUCGACCCCUAAGGCGAGGCCGAAAGGCGUAGUCGAUGGGAAACGGGUUAAUAUUCCCGUACUUGGUGUUACUGCGAAGGGGGGACGGAGAAGGCUAUGUUGGCCGGGCGACGGUUGUCCCGGUUUAAGCGUGUAGGCUGGUUUUCCAGGCAAAUCCGGAAAAUCAAGGCUGAGGCGUGAUGACGAGGCACUACGGUGCUGAAGCAACAAAUGCCCUGCUUCCAGGAAAAGCCUCUAAGCAUCAGGUAACAUCAAAUCGUACCCCAAACCGACACAGGUGGUCAGGUAGAGAAUACCAAGGCGCUUGAGAGAACUCGGGUGAAGGAACUAGGCAAAAUGGUGCCGUAACUUCGGGAGAAGGCACGCUGACACGUAGGUGAAGUGAUUUACUCAUGGAGCUGAAGUCAGUCGAAGAUACCAGCUGGCUGCAACUGUUUAUUAAAAACACAGCACUGUGCAAACACGAAAGUGGACGUAUACGGUGUGACGCCUGCCCGGUGCCGGAAGGUUAAUUGAUGGGGUCAGCGCAAGCGAAGCUCCUGAUCGAAGCCCCGGUAAACGGCGGCCGUAACUAUAACGGUCCUAAGGUAGCGAAAUUCCUUGUCGGGUAAGUUCCGACCUGCACGAAUGGCGUAAUGAUGGCCAGGCUGUCUCCACCCGAGACUCAGUGAAAUUGAACUCGCUGUGAAGAUGCAGUGUACCCGCGGCAAGACGGAAAGACCCCGUGAACCUUUACUAUAGCUUGACACUGAACAUUGAGCCUUGAUGUGUAGGAUAGGUGGGAGGCUUUGAAGYGUGGACGCCAGUCUGCRUGGAGCCGACCUUGAAAUACCACCCUUUAAUGUUUGAUGUUCUAACGUGGACCCGUGAUCCGGGUUGCGGACAGUGUCUGGUGGGUAGUUUGACUGGGGCGGUCUCCUCCUAAAGAGUAACGGAGGAGCACGAAGGUUGGCUAAUCCUGGUCGGACAUCAGGAGGUUAGUGCAAUGGCAUAAGCCAGCUUGACUGCGAGCGUGACGGCGCGAGCAGGUGCGAAAGCAGGUCAUAGUGAUCCGGUGGUUCUGAAUGGAAGGGCCAUCGCUCAA